rnacentral:misc_RNA from 1 species
GUGAGUCAUCGAAUCUUUGAACGCACAUUGCGCCCCUCGGUAUUCCGUGGGGCAUGCCUGUUCGAGCGUCAUUUAAACCCUCAAGCUCAGCUUGGUGUUGGGUGCUUGUCCCGCCUCCGCGCGGCGACUCACCUCAAAAUCAGUGGCAGCCCGCAUCAGCCGGCCGUGAGCGCAGCACAGUCGCGCCCUAGGUCCUGGCAGGUCGGCUCUCCAGAAGCAUUUUCUUCCAUUUUGACCUCGGAUCAGGUAGGGAUACCCGCUGAACUUAAGCAUAUCAAUAAGCGGAGGA